AUUGAACGCUGGCGGCAGGCCUAACACAUGCAAGUCGAACGAGUGGCGGACGGGUGAGUAAUGUCUGGGAAACUGCCUGAUGGAGGGGGAAAAAUAGGGGAAAGGGUACCAAAUACCGUAUACACUCAAAGGUGCCAAGAUGGGAUUAGAUAGUGGGUGGGGAAAGGGCUCACAAAGGCGACGACCCCUAGCUGGUCUGAGAGGAUGACCAGCCACACUGGAACUGAGACACGGUCCAGACUCCUACGGGAGGCAGCAGUGGGGAAUAUUGCACAAUGGGCGCAAGCCUGAUGCAGCCAUGCCGCGUGUAUGAAGAAGGCCUUCGGGUUGUAAAGUACUUUCAGCGGGGAGGCGUUACCCGCAGAAGAAGCACCGGCUAACUCCGUGCCAGCCGCCGCGGUAAUUC
rnacentral:rRNA from 1 species